rnacentral:rRNA from 2 species
AGUCGAACGGAUCCUUCGGGAUUAGUGGCAGACGGGUGAGUAACGCGUGGGAAGCUACCUUGUGGUAGGGGACAACAGUUGGAAACGACUGCUAAUACCCUAUGAGCCCUAUGGGGGAAAGAUUUAUCGCCAUGAGAUGUGCCCGCGUUAGAUUAGCUAGUUGGUAAGGUAAUGGCUUACCAAGGCGACGAUCUAUAGCUGGUCUGAGAGGAUGAUCAGCCACACUGGGACUGAGACACGGCCCAGACUCCUACGGGAGGCAGCAGUGGGGAAUAUUGGACAAUGGGGGCAACCCUGAUCCAGCCAUGCCGCGUGUGUGAUGACGGCCUUAGGGUUGUAAAGCACUUUCAGCAGUGAAGAUAAUGACAUUAACUGCAGAAGAAGCCCCGGCUAACUUCGUGCCAGCAGCCGCGGUAAUACGAAGGGGGCUAGCGUUGUUCGGAAUCACUGGGCGUAAAGAGUACGUAGGCGGACUGAUAAGUUAGGGGUGAAAUCCCAAGGCUCAACCUUGGAACUGCCUUUGAUACUGUCAGUCUUGAGAUCGAGAGAGGUGAGUGGAACUCCGAGUGUAGAGGUGAAAUUCGUAGAUAUUCGGAAGAACACCAGUGGCGAAGGCGGCUCACUGGCUCGAUACUGACGCU